rnacentral:rRNA from 1 species
AGUGAACGCUGGCGGUAGGCCUAACACAUGCAAGUCGAACGGCAGCACAGUAAGAGCUUGCUCUUACGGGUGGCGAGUGGCGGACGGGUGAGGAAUACAUCGGAAUCUACUUUUUCGUGGGGGAUAAGUAGGGGAACCUAAGCCUAUAACGCCAUACGACCACGGGGGAAAGCCAGGGAAUCUUCGAACCUGGGCCGAUGAAUGAAGCCGAUGUCGGAUUAGCUAGUUGGCGGGGUAAAGGCCCACCAAGGCGACGAUCCGUAGCUGGUCUGAGAGGAUGAUCAGCCACACUGGAACUGAGACACGGUCCAGACUCCUACGGGAGGCAGCAGUGGGGAAUAUUGGACAAUGGGCGCAAGCCUGAUCCAGCCAUACCGCGUGGGUGAAGAAGGCCUUCGGGUUGUAAAGCCCUUUUGUUGGGAAAGAAAAGCAGCAGGUUAAUACCCCGCUGUUCUGACGGUACCCAAAGAAUAAGCACCGGCUAACUUCGUG